rnacentral:rRNA from 1 species
CCUAACACAUGCAAGUCGAACGGUAACAGGAAGAAGCUUUGCUUCUUCGCUGACGAGUGGCGGACGGGUGAGUAAUGUCUGGGAAACUGCCUGAUGGAGGGGGAUAACUACUGGAAACGGUAGCUAAUACCGCAUAAUGUCGCAAGACCAAAGAGGGGGACCUUCGGGCCUCUUGCCAUCGGAUGUGCCCAGAUGGGAUUAGCUUGUUGGUGGGGUAACGGCUCACCAAGGCGACGAUCCCUAGCUGGUCUGAGAGGAUGACCAGCCACACUGGAACUGAGACACGGUCCAGACUCCUACGGGAGGCAGCAGUGGGGAAUAUUGCACAAUGGGCGCAAGCCUGAUGCAGCCAUGCCGCGUGUAUGAAGAAGGCCUUCGGGU